rnacentral:rRNA from 1 species
CACAAGCGGUGGAGUAUGUGGUUAAUUCGACGCAACGCGCAGAACUUACCUGGUCUUGACAUCCCGAGAAUUUCCUGGAAACAGGAAAGUGCCUCGCAAGAGGAACUUGGUGACAGGUGCUGCAAGGCUGUCGUCAGCUCGUGUCGUGAGAUGUUGGGUUAAGUCCCGCAACGAGCGCAACCCUUGUCUUUAGUUGCCAUCAUUAAGUUGGGCACUCUAAAGAGACUGCCGGUGUCAAACCGGAGGAAGGUGGGGAUGACGUCAAGUCCUCAUGGCCUUUAUGACCAGGGCUACACACGUACUACAAUGGCAGGUACAAAGGGCAGCCACUUAGCGAUAAGGAGCGAAUCCCGUAAAACCUGUCUCAGUCCGGAUUGGAGUCUGCAACUCGACUCCAUGAAGUUGGAAUCGCUAGUAAUCGCAGAUCAGCACGCUGCGGUGAAUACGUUCCCGGGCCUU